GGCGUGACGAGCGAACGCUUUAACCACUUGGCUACCCCACCGCCCCAUAUCCAUCAAUGAAAAGCAGUACGAAAAACUUUUCAAUUCACAAGUAUUUUAUACGCAUUAAUUUACACAUGAGAAGAGACUCGGUGUUAUCUUUUUUUUUCAAAAUGUGUUUUGGUGAUCAUCGUAAUGGAAAUAACGUGAUUAAUGUGUGAAACGAAUGGGUUCACUGAGUACAGAGUCGCCAUGGCAUCACGGGAUAGGAUGGUCACUUCCGGUCCAUGAAAUACGACCUCAUUCGUGACCACUCGC